rnacentral:rRNA from 1 species
CUGCAGCUCGAGUGGUGAUCGUUAUUAUUGGGCCUAAAACGUUCGUAGCCGGUUGAGUAAAUGCCUGGGUAAAUUGUGUAGCUCAACUAUACGACUUCCGGGUAGACUGCUAAACUUGAGACCGGGAGAGGCUAGAGGUACUCCUGGGGUAGAGGUGAAAUUCUGUAAUCCUAGGGGGACCACCAGUGGCGAAGGCGUCUAGCUAGAACGGGUCUGACGGUGAGGGACGAAGCCCUGGGGCGCAAACCGGAUUAGAUACCCGAGUAGUCC